rnacentral:rRNA from 1 species
AGGGUUUGAUCAUGGCUCAGGAUGAACGCUGGCGGCACGCUUAACACAUGCAAGUCGAACGAGGUCCAUGGAGCUUGCUCCGGAAGAUCUAGUGGCGAACGGGUGCGUAACACGUGAGAAAUCUGCCCCGGACUCUGGGAUAACAGUUGGAAACGACUGCUAAUACCGGAUGCCUUCGCAUGACCGCAUGGUCGAGUGAAGAAAGAUUUAUCGGUUUGGGAGGAUCUCGCGGCCUAUCAGCUUGUUGGAGAGGUAACGGCUCACCAAGGCAUCGACGGGUAGCUGGUCUGAGAGGAUGAUCAGCCACACUGGAACUGAGACACGGUCCAGACUCCUACGGGAGGCAGCAGUGGGGAAUCUUGCACAAUGGGCGAAAGCCUGAUGCAGCGAUGCCGCGUGCGGGAAGAAGGCCUUAGGGUUGUAAACCGCUUUCAGGAGGGAAGAAAAUGACGGUACCUCCAGAAGAAGGUGCGGCCAACUACGUGCCAGCAGCCGCGGUGACACGUAGGCACCAAGCGUUAUCCGGAUUUAUUGGGCGUAAAGAGCUCGUAGGCGGUUUGGUAAGUCGGGUGUGAAAACUCUGGGCUCAACCCAGAGAGGCCACUCGAUACUGCUAUGACUAAAGUACGGUAGGGGAGCGGGGAAUUCCUGGUGUAGCGGUGAAAUGCG